rnacentral:rRNA from 1 species
CAGGAUUAGAUACCCUGGUAGUCCUAGCCGUAAACGAUGGGCACUAGGUGUGGGAGGUGCUGACCCCUCUCGUGCCGAAGCUAACGCAUUAAGUGCCCCGCCUGGGGAGUACGSCCGCAAGGCUGAAACUCAAAGGAAUUGACGGGGGCCCGCACAAGCGGUGGAGCAUGUGGUUUAAUUCGAUGCAACGCGAARAACCUUACCGGGGCUUGACAUGCAGAGGACAGGUGCGGAAACGUACCCUCCCCUUUCGGGGCUUCUGCACAGGUGCUGCAUGGCUGUCGUCAGCUCGUGUCGUGAGAUGUUGGGUUAAGUCCCGCAACGAGCGCAACCCUUGUCCCUAGUUGCCAGCGGGUAAUGCCGGGCACCCUAGGGAGACUGCCGGUGGUAAGCCGGAGGAAGGUGGGGAUGACGUCAAGUCCUCAUGGCCCUUAUGCCCCGGGCUACACACGUGCUACAAUGGCCGGUACAGAGGGUUGCAAUACCGCGAGGUGGAGCCAAUCCCCGAAAGCCGGCCUCAGUUCGGAUUGCAGUCUGCAACUCGACUGCAUGAAGGUGGAAUCGCUAGUAAUCGCGAAUCAGCAGGUCGCGGUGAAUACGUUCCCGGGCCUUGUACACACCGCCCGUCAAGCCACGAAAGUCGGUAGUACCCGAAGUCGCUGUCCCAACCCGCAAGGGAGGGAGGCGCCGAAGGUAAGACCGGCGAUUGGGGCUAAGUCGACACAAGGUAGCCGUA